rnacentral:rRNA from 1 species
UGGGGAAUUUUGGACAAUGGGCGCAAGCCUGAUCCAGCCAUGCCGCGUGCGGGAAGAAGGCCUUCGGGUUGUAAACCGCUUUUGUCAGGGAAGAAAUCUUCUGAGUUAAUACCUCGGGAGGAUGACGGUACCUGAAGAAUAAGCACCGGCUAACUACGUGCCAGCAGCCGCGGUAAUACGUAGGGUGCAAGCGUUAAUCGGAAUUACUGGGCGUAAAGCGUGCGCAGGCGGUUUUGUAAGACAGAGGUGAAAUCCCCGGGCUCAACCUGGGAACUGCCUUUGUGACUGCAAGGCUUGAGUGCGGCAGAGGGGGAUGGAAUUCCGCGUGUAGCAGUGAAAUGCGUAGAUAUGCGGAGGAACACCGAUGGCGAAGGCAAUCCCCUGGGCCUGCACUGACGCUCAUGCACGAAAGCGUGGGGAGCAAACAGGAUUAGAUACCCUGGUAGUCCACGCCCUAAAACGAUGUCAACUGGUUGUUGGGAAGGUUCCCUUCUCAGUAACGUAGCUAACGCGUGAAGUUGACCGCCUGGGGAGUACGGCCGCAAGGUUGAAACUCAAAUGAAUUGACGGGGGU